AAGCGUAUUAGCGGAAGUUUUCGGAUGGAAGCGGAUAUGACUUAGCGGCGGACGGGUGAGUAACGCGUGGAUAACCUGCCUCAUACAGGGGGAUAACAGUUAGAAAUGACUGCUAAUACCGCAUAAGCGCACAGGACCGCAUGGUCCGGUGUGAAAAACUCCGGUGGUAUGGGAUGGAUCCGCGUCUGAUUAGCUGGUUGGUGAGGUAACGGCCCACCAAGGCGACGAUCAGUAGCCGACCUGAGAGGGUGGCCGGCCACAUUGGGACUGAGACACGGCCCAAACUCCUACGGGAGGCAGCAGUGGGGAAUAUUGCACAAUGGGGGAAACCCUGAUGCAGCAACGCCGCGUGAGUGAAGAAGUAUUUCGGUAUGUAAAGCUCUAUCAGCAGGGAAGAAGAAAGACGGUACCUGACUAAGAAGCCCCGGCUAACUACGUGCCAGCAGCCGCGGUAAUACGUAGGGGGCAAGCGUUAUCCGGAUUUACUGGGUGUAAAGGGAGCGUAGACGGCUGUGCAAGUCUGAAGUGAAAGCCCGUGGCUCAACCGCGGAACUGCUUUGGAAACUGUAUAGCUUGAGUACUGGAGAGGCAGGCGGAAUUCCUAGUGUAGCGGUGAAAUGCGUAGAUAUUAGGAGGAACACCAGUGGCGAAGGCGGCCUGCUGGACAGAAACUGACGUUGAGGCUCGAAAGCGUGGGGAGCAAACAGGAUUAGAUACCCUGGUAGUCCACGCGGUAAACGAUGAAUGCUAGGUGUUGGGGAGCAAAGCUCUUCGGUGCCGUCGCAAAC
rnacentral:rRNA from 1 species